rnacentral:rRNA from 1 species
CGAAAGCCUGACGGAGCAAUACCGCGUGAGGGAGGAAGGCUCUUGGGUUGUAAACCUCUUUUCUCAGGGAAGAACAAAAUGACGGUACCUGAGGAAUCAGCAUCGGCUAACUCCGUGCCAGCAGCCGCGGUAAUACGGAGGAUGCAAGCGUUAUCCGGAAUCAUUGGGCGUAAAGCGUCCGCAGGUGGCUUUUCAAGUCUGCUGUCAAAGCCCGGGGCUCAACCCUGGAGAGGCAGUGGAAACUGGGGAGCUAGAGUACGGUAGGGGUAGAGGGAAUUCCCGGUGUAGCGGUGAAAUGCGUAGAUAUCGGGAAGAACACCAGUGGCGAAGGCGCUCUGCUGGACCGUAACUGACACUCAUGGACGAAAGCUAGGGGAGCG